rnacentral:rRNA from 1 species
GAUCCUGGCUCAGAGCGAACGUUAGCGGCGGGCCUAACACAUGCAAGUCGAACGCGAAAGGUCUUCGGACUGAGUAGAGUGGCGCACGGGUGAGUAACACGUAGGUAAUCUACCCUUUGGCGGGGGAUAACGUUCCGAAAGGAGCGCUAAUACCGCAUAAGACCACGGAGUCUCCGGACGCUGUGGGAAAAGGUGGCCUCUUCUUGAAAGCUACCACCGAAGGAUGAGCCUGCGUCCCAUCAGCUAGUUGGUAAGGUAAUGGCUUACCAAGGCGAAGACGGGUAGCUGGUUUGAGAGAAUGAUCAGCCACACUGGCACUGGAACACGGGCCAGACUCCUACGGGAGGCAGCAGUGAGGAAUAUUGGGCAAUGGGCGAAAGCCUGACCCAGCCACGCCGCGUGAGUGAUGAAGGCCCUCGGGUCGUAAAGCUCUGUGGAGAGGGACGAAAACCCUGGUUUCAAAUAGGCUCCAGGCUUGACGGUACCUCUUUAGCAAGCACCGGCUAACUCUGUG